rnacentral:rRNA from 1 species
GACGAACGCUGGCGGCGUGCUUAACACAUGCAAGUCGAACGGAAAGGCCCUGCUUUUGUGGGGUGCUCGAGUGGCGAACGGGUGAGUAACACGUGAGUAACCUGCCCUUGACUUUGGGAUAACUUCAGGAAACUGGGGCUAAUACCGGAUAGGAGCUCCUGCUGCAUGGUGGGGGUUGGAAAGUUUCGGCGGUUGGGGAUGGACUCGCGGCUUAUCAGCUUGUUGGUGGGGUAGUGGCUUACCAAGGCUUUGACGGGUAGCCGGCCUGAGAGGGUGACCGGGGCCAUUGGGAGUGUGAGACGGCGCCGAGUCCUCCGGGGGGGAGCGGUGUGGAAUAUAGCACACUGGGCGGAGGCGUGAUGUAGAGACGCCGCGUGCGGGAGGACGGGGUCUGGGUUGUAAACAGCUUUCGCGUGUGACGAAGCGUGAGUGACGGUAAUGGGUAAAGAAGCACCGGCUAACUACGUG